CGAAGGUCAAGUUCACAGUGACUCAAAAUAGUAAAAUGGUUUCCUGAUGAUAACUCAAGAAUAAUUAGGCCUAGGAUCAUGAAACUUCAUAGGUACAUUGAUCAUGACUGGCAGAUGACCACUAUUGAUUUUCAGGUCACUAGGUCAAAGGUCAAGGUCACAGUGACACAAAACGUAUUCACACAAUGGCUGCCACUACAACUGACAGUCCAUAUGGGGGGCAUGCAUGUUUUACAAACAGCCCUUGUUUCCUUUUUUGCAACUCUAGAAAUACUAGUAGCAAUUUUUAUGCCCCCCUUCAAAGAAGAGGGGGUAUAUUGUUUUGCACAUGUCUGUUGGUUGGUCCGUCGGUCCUUCCACCAGAUGGUUUCCGGAUGAUAUCUCAAGAACGCUUAGGCCUAGGAUCAUGAAACUUCAUAGUCACAUUGAUCAUGACUGGCAGAUGACCCCUAUAGAUUUUCAGGUCACUAGGUCAAAGGUCAAGGUCACAGUGACUUGAAACAGUAAAAUGGUUUCCAGAUGAUAACUCACGAAUGAAUACGCCUAGGGUCAUGAAAUUUCAUAGGUACAUUGAUCAUGACUGGUAGAUGACCCCUAUUCAUUUUUAGGUCACUCGGCCAAAGGUCAAGUUCACAGUGACUCGAAACAGUAAAAUGGUUUCCUGAUGAUAACUCAAGAAUAAUUAGGCCUAGGAUCAUGAAACUUCAUAGGGACAUUGAUCAUGACUGGCAGAUGACCCCUAAUGAUUUUCAGGUCACUAGGUCAAAGGACAAGUUCACAGUGACACAAAAUGUAUUCACACAAUGGCUGCCACUACAACUGACAGCCCAUAUGGGGGGCAUGCAUGUUUUACAAACAGCCCUUGUUUACUUUGUUGCAAUUCUAGAAAUACUAGUAGCAAUUUUUAUGCCCCCUUUGAAAAAGAGGGGGUAUAUUGUUUUGCACAUGUCGGUCGGUCCGUCCACCAGAUGGUUUCCGGAUGAUAACUCAAGAACGCUUAGGCCUAGGAUUAUGAUCAUGAAACUUCAUAGGUACAUUGAUCAUGACUGGCAAAUGACCCCUAUUAAUUUUCAGGUCACUAGGUCAAAUGUCAAGGUCACAGUGACUCAAAACAGUAAAAUGGUUUCUUGAUGAUAAAUCAAGAAUAAUUAGGCAUAGGAUCAUGAAACUUCAUAAGUACAUUUAUCAUCUUUGGCAGAUGACCGCUAUUGAUUUUCAGGUCACUAGGUCAAAGUUCAAGGUCACAGUGACAAAAACCGUAUUCACACAAUGGCUGCCACUACAACUGACAGCCCAUAUGGGGGGGGGCAUGCAUGUUUUACAAACAGCCCUUGUUUCCUACAUUGUAAUUGCUAAAAAAGGAUAAGGAGGGCUUAGCAAAUAUAAGUAAUGUGCUGGGCUAAUUGAAAAUGUACCGCUGUCAUUUCCUAUACUAAACUGAUGAAUCGGGAUCAUUUUAACUCUUGUUAAUAAAACAACCCAACUGAUAAGAAGUAUCCAAUAGUAUUAGUCUAAGAUGUCUAUAAUUUGGUUUUGAAUCGUUCCAUCAACGUUAUCCUGAUCAAAAAGGUUGAACUUAUUGAAAAGAGCAACAAGUUAAUACUGCGCAUCUAUUUAUAUUAGAAUUAUUAAAUUUUGCCUGUA